rnacentral:tRNA from 1 species
GUGUUUAUAGUAUAAUAAAAUACACUUGCUUUUCACGUAAGAAAUACAUUUUUGAUGUUAAACACA